UAUAUAUAGUAAAGAAUCGAGACUGGCAGUUGACUUUGCUGAAGAAAAGUCUCUUCCAAUGGCAUUGCUGGAUUGUCAAUUUCUCCUCAACAAGUGCUCUUUCAAAUACAUUACCCCAAGUUUGAGAAAAAAAGAUCGAGUUCGAUAAUCAUUUUUAGAAACCUGUGUACAAGGAGGAGAAAAAAGAAGUAGAAGCAGCAAAGGAGCAAAUAUACUUUUAUUUGAAGUUUGUCAAUACCAAUUACUAAUUAUAACUUAAAUUGUAAAAUCAAAACUGAUUACAAUUUCUCAACUCAUUUUAUAACUAUAGUAUGAAUGACGAGUUAAGUAGGUAGCCGAGACCUUUUAAUUUGUCUCUGUAGUUUUCUUGAGUUAAAAGGGUGCAUUUUAUUAAA